GCCUUUGUGGAUCACGGCGGUCACCUCAAUUCAAUUAUGUACAGCAGAGGAAGUUGUGUUGAGGGGAUGGAGGUUCGAAUCCUUCCGAAGGCA